rnacentral:rRNA from 1 species
UGAAUACGAGAUGCUACGGCGUCGAAGCAGUCUAUGUCAUACUUCCAAGAAAAGCUUGCACUGUCAUAAACAAAUAAUGCCUGUACCAUAACCGACACAGGUGGGUAGGUAGAGUAUACUAAGGGGCGCGAGAUAACUCUCUCUAAGGAACUCGGCAAAAUGACUCCGUAACUUCGGGAGAAGGAGUGCCUUAUUUAUAAGGUUGCAAUAACAAGAUCCAAGCAACUGUUUACCAAAAACACAGGUCUCCGCUAAGUCGUAAGACGAUGUAUGGGGGCUGACGCCUGCCCAGUGCCAGAAGGUUAAAGAAGUUGGUUAGCAUCCGCGAAGCUGAUAACUGAAGCCCUGGUGAACGGCGCCGUAACUAUAACGGUCCUAAGGUAGCGAAAUUCCUUGUCGGGUAAGUUCCGACCCGCACGAAAGGCGUAAUGAUUUGGAUACUGUCUCGGAGAGGGGCUCGGUGAAAUAGACUUGUCUGUGAAGAUGCGGACUACCUGCACCAGGACAGAAAGACCCUAUGAAGCUUUACUGUAACCUGAAAUUGAAAUUGGACUUUACUUGCGCAGUAUAGGUGGGAGGCGUUGAGAAUAUUCUUGCGGGAUUAUUGGAGCCAUCAGUGAGAUACCACUCUUGUAAUGUUAGAUUUCUAACUUUGUAUCAUUAUCUGGUCAAAGAACAGUUUCAGGCGGGCAGUUUGACUGGGGCGGUCGCCUCCUAAACGGUAACGGAGGCGCACAAAGGUUUCCUCUGAACGGGUAGAAAUCGUAUCUAGAGUGUAAAGGCAUAAGGAAGCUUGACUGUGAGACCUACAAGUCGAGCAGGGACGAAAGUCGGUCUUAGUGAUCUGACGGUGCUGAGUGGAAAGGCCGUCACUCAACGGAUAAAAGUUACUCUAAGGAUAACAGGCUGAUCUCCCCCAAGAGUUCACAUCGACGGGGAGGUUUGGCACCUCGAUGUCGGCUCAUCGCAUCCUGGGGCGGUAGUACGUCCCAAGGGUUGGGCUGUUCGCCCAUGAAAGCGGUACGCGAGCUGGGUUCAGAACGUCGUGAGACAGUUCGGUCCAUAUCCGGUGUAGGCGUUAGAAUAUUGAGAGGAGCCUUCUUUAGUACGAGAGGACCGAGAAGGACAUACCUCUGGUGUACCAGUUAUCGUGCCAACGGUAAACGCUGGGUAGCUAUGUGUGGAGUGGAUAACCGCUGAAAGCAUCUAAGUGGGAAGCCCACCUCAAGAUAAGUAUUCU